GGGCUCAUAGCGCAGUUGGUAGCGCGUCCGCAUGGCAUGCGGGAGGUCGUGGGUUCGAAUCCCACUGGGUCCA
rnacentral:tRNA from 1 species